rnacentral:rRNA from 1 species
UACGUAGGGUGCAAGCGUUAAUCGGAAUUACUGGGCGUAAAGCGUGCGCAGGCGGUUUUGUAAGUUUGUCGUGAAAGCCCCGGGCUCAACCUGGGAAUGGCGAUGAAGACUGCAAGGCUUUAAUCUGGCAGAGGGGGGUAGAAUUCCACGUGUAGCAGUGAAAUGCGUAGAGAUGUGGAGGAACACCGAUGGCGAAGGCAGCCCCCUGGGUCAAGAUUGACGCUCAUGCACGAAAGCGUGGGGAGCAAACAGG